GGCAGUUUAGUUUAAUGGUAAAACACUUGAUGCGUAAUCACUGAGAUGUGAGUUCGAGUCUCAUGACUGGCCA
rfam:Octopus bimaculoides Scaffold39715_contig_23, whole genome shotgun sequence.